AAUCCAUAGGUUAAUGAGGCGAACCGGGGGAACUGAAACAUCUAAGUACCCCGAGGAAAAGAAAUCAACCGAGAUUCCCCCAGUAGCGGCGAGCGAACGGGGAGGAGCCCAGAGCCUGAAUCAGCAUGUGUGUUAGUGGAAGCGUCUGGAAAGGCGCGCGAUACAGGGUGACAGCCCCGUACACAAAAGCGCAUAUGCUGUGAGCUCGAUGAGUAGGGCGGGACACGUGGUAUCCUGUCUGAAUAUGGGGGGACCAUCCUCCAAGGCUAAAUACUCCUGACUGACCGAUAGUGAACCAGUACCGUGAGGGAAAGGCGAAAAGAACCCCGGCGAGGGGAGUGAAAAAGAACCUGAAACCGUGU
rnacentral:rRNA from 1 species